CCAGCAGCCGCGGUCAUACGGAGGAUCCAAGCGUUAUCCGGAAUUACUGGGCGUAAAGCGUACGUAGGCGGCUUUGUAAGUUAGAGGUGAAAGCCCGGGGCUCAACCCCGGAAUUGCCUUUAAGACUGCAUCGCUUGAACGUCGGAGAGGUGAGUGGAAUUCCGAGUGUAGAGGUGAAAUUCGUAGAUAUUCGGAAGAACACCAGUGGCGAAGGCGGCUCACUGGACGACUGUUGACGCUGAGGUACGAAAGCGUGGGGAGC
rnacentral:rRNA from 1 species